UGGGGAAUAUUGGACAAUGGGGGCAACCCUGAUCCAGCGAUGCCGCGUGUGCGAAGAAGGCCUGCGGGUUGUAAAGCACUUUGGUUGGGGAAGAAGGUUGGUAGAUGAAUAGUCUACUGAAUUGACGUUACCCAAAGAACAAGCACCGGCUAACUCUGUGCCAGCAGCCGCGGUAAGACGUAGGAUGCGAGCGUUGUCCGGAUUUAUUGGGCGUAAAGAGUUCGUAGGUGGUUUGUUAAGUCUGAUGUUAAAGAUUGGGGCUCAACCCCGAAAAUGCAUUGGAUACUGGCAGACUUGAGUGUGGUAGAGGCUAGUGGAAUUCCCAGUGUAGCGGUGAAAUGCGUAGAUAUUGGGAAGAACACCGGUGGCGUAGGCGACUAGCUGGGCCAUAACUGACACUGAGGAACGAAAGCCAGGGUAGCGAAUGGGAUUAGAUACCCCAGUAGUCCUGGCCGUAAACGAUGGAUACUAGGCGUAUCGGGUAUCGACCCCUGAUGUGCCGCAGCUAACGCGAUAAGUAUCCCGCCUGAGUAGUACGGCCGCAAGGU
rnacentral:rRNA from 1 species